rnacentral:SRP_RNA from 1 species
GCCGGGUGUGGUGGCUUACACCUGUAAUCCCAGCACUUUGGGAGGCUGAGGUGGGUGGAUCACCUGAGGUCAGGAGUUGGAGACCAGCCUGACCAACAUGGUGAAACCCUACCUCUA